GGCGGACGGGUGAGUAACGCGUGGGAAUCUGCCUACUAGCGGGGGAUAGCCCGGAGAAAUCCGGAUUAAUACCGCAUACGCCCUACGGGGGAAAGCUGGGGAUCUUCGGACCUGGCACUAGUAGAUGAGCCCGCGUUGGAUUAGCUUGUUGGUGGGGUAAUGGCCCACCAAGGCAACGAUCCAUAGCUGUUCUGAGAGGAAGAUCAGCCACACUGGGACUGAGACACGGCCCAG
rnacentral:rRNA from 1 species